GACGAACGCUGGCGGCGUGCCUAAUACAUGCAAGUCGAACGCAGUGGGGACGGGUGAGUCACACGUGGGUAACCUCCCAUAUGAGGGGAUAACACUUGGAAACAGGUGCUAAACCGAUCCGGAUGGAUGAACCCGCGGUGCAUUCGCUAGUUGGUGAGGGAACGGCUCACCAAGGCCACGAUGCAUAGCCGACCGGAGUGGGUGACCGGCCACACUGGGACUGAGAAACGGCCCAGACUCCGACGGGAGGCAGCAGUAGGGAAUCUUCGGCAAUGGACGAAAGUCUGACCGAGCAACGCCGAGUGAGUGAAGAAGGUUUUCGGAUCGUAAAGCUCUGGUGUUAGAGAAGCGGUAUCUAACCAGAAAGCCACGGCUAACUACGUGACAGCAGCCGCGGUAAUUC
rnacentral:rRNA from 1 species